UUAGAGUUUGAUCCUAGCUCAGGGUGAAUGCUGGCGGUAUGGAUAAGGCAUGCAAGUCGAAUGGGUUUAGACCCAUGGCAGACGAGGUAGUAACACGUAGGAACGUACCCGGAAGUCGGGCAUAACCGGUCGAAAGAUCGGAUAAUUCCCGAUAUGUCGCAAGAUGAAAGAUUUAUCGCUCCCGGAGCGGCCUGCGUAAUAUCAGCUAGUUGGUGAGGUAAUGGCUCACCAAGGCUAUGACGUUUAGGGGACCUGAGAGGGUGACCCCCACCGAUGAUACUGAGACACGGAUCAUACCCCUACGGGGGGCUGCAGCCGAGAAUAUUCGACAAUGGGCGAAAGCCUGAUCGAGCGAUACCGCGUGGUGGAUGAAGCGAUUCGUCGCGUAAACAUCUUUUAUGAGGGAGGAAGUUAUUGACGUUACCUCAUGAAUAAGGGGCUCCUAACUCUGUGCCA
rnacentral:rRNA from 1 species